rnacentral:rRNA from 1 species
UACGUAGGGUGCAAGCGUUAAUCGGAAUUACUGGGCGUAAAGCGUGCGCAGGCGGUUUUGUAAGUCUGUCGUGAAAGCCCCGGGCGCAACCUGGGAAUUGCGAUGGAGACUGCAAGGCUUGAAUCUGGCAGAGGGGGGUAGAAUUCCACGUGUAGCAGUGAAAUGCGUAGAGAUGUGGAGGAACACCGAUGGCGAAGGCAGCCCCCUGGGUCAAGAUUGACGCUCAUGCACGAAAGCGUGGGGAGCAAACAGG